rnacentral:rRNA from 1 species
UCUUACCUUCCAAUUAUCGAUUGGAGGUUGAGAUAACGUAAGGGACAAAAAUGAUAGUACCUUACUAUAAGUGUUGUCCAACAUUACUGGUGCCAGAAGACUCGGUAACGCCAGAAACGCAAACGUUAGUCGUCUUAAUCAGGCGUAAAGGGUAAGUAGGCUGCUUUAACAGUUAUUGGUUAGAAAGCUCUUUAAAUGUUAAUUUAAAGUAAUUAAUAAUGAAUUAAAGCUAGAAUCAAAUAGAGGAUAAGACAAAUAACGCUAAGAGUAAGGCUGAUAUCUUUAGAUACUUUGCGGAAUACUAAAGGUGAAAACUUUUAUCUACUAUUGAUUGACGCUGAGGAACGAAGGUGAGAAUAGAAAACAGGAUUAGAGACCCAGGUAUCUCUCACUGUCAACGAUGAAUGGUGGUUGUUAGUUUUAAAAUAAACUAG